UCAUUCCCCCCUCGCCCCAUCUACGAUUUCUCUCACGUCUUAGGGUUCAUCACUCAUCGCUUCCCCUCCGCCACCGAUUCUCCCUAUGACUCCAUCCUUCAUCUCAAGUUAUCCAGGCACAUAGGGGCGUGGUCUUUCAUUUCAAGUUCCCUGACCUCGUCGCAGUCGUGUCUGCCGCGCCCGAUGAUGCCCCGCGACUCGGGCCGCUGGAGCUCAGCCUACUGGGCAUGGAUCCGGGCGGCGGCGGGGAUCUGAGUGUUUCGUCGUCAACCACUCGACCGACGGGCCGUUUCGCUUUUCGAUGGAGCAGAUUCCCGCCAGAGUUGGGGCUCCCACCGAUGGGAGCGCUGCCGCCCCCGAGCUGAAGCGUCGGCCUGGUUGCUUGGCGGAGCUGCUGCUGCCGGACUCCUCUCCGACCUACUAUUGCCUCUGGUCCCACACGUCGACUGUCCUCCGUGCGCCGCCAUCCGGCAGAUCCCCUCGUCAGCUGCCCCAUCGUUCUUCCUCCGCCACCUGAUUCAACGUCCGGUUCUGUAUCUACAGAGAUUUAGAAGAUGGUACCACUUAUAAUUGAGAGGUAAACAAGAGCUCUGCUAUUCUCAAUUAGAUUUCUUAAAUAAGUUAUUAUUCACGCGAUGGCUCCUAUCUGUCGAUUCAUUCACUGUCUGCAGCUGGAAAGCACGUGAACUUUUUUAUCACCGGAUAUUACAGGCUUGAUUUGUACAUGAUAUAUCAUUUCUCCACAUCUUGCUAACAUCAGGCAAUCAUGGAAAUUAUAGUCAUUAGUGUUAUUGCAACCACUUCUGCUAUUUGAAGGAUUAGGUUUUGUUGCUUGAGCUCUACAGUCUACAGGCCACUGCUCACUCGUGGUUACUGUUCAUCAACUAUAUGUAAUCCUGCUAAUGCACUCGUUUGUCAUGUGCAAUGACAUAGGUAAGUAAUUCAGUAACCUUGCAAUAUAAAAGAGUACUUAUCUAUUUAAUUUUAACGUACGUAAUUCAGUAGACUUGGCAUGCCUAGCUCAAUCUUAUUUGCACAUCUUGCAGACAAUAUCUUAUUUACAAAGUUAUAUGCAAGUAUGUAAGAAGCAAAAGAUAUGUUGUUGCCGUAGUUGCGAGAGGUCAUCUGGCGGUACCAUGGACUCGAUACUAGCCCUAAUUAUUUUAAAAGAUAAACUGAGGUUUUUGUAAAUUUUGGGUAUUUUGGGUCGUUGCAAAUUUUGGACUACAUGAGUAGUCAGAGACAUCUUUUAGUAGGUCACCUCAUUGAGCUUAUUUUGUCAGAGAUCAUCUUUUAAUGCCUUAAUGGACUCGUUCCUUAGCCGAGAUUUUGAUGGAAGGAUGGCUAGGAGCUGGUCUUGGCUAGGUGCACCAAAGCAUGGGAGAUGGUGGAGAAGGAUGCCGAUGAUGCAGAGUUUGUUCUCCGGUGAUGCCGUAGGCCGUUCAAGGGAAGAGGAUAUGCGUGCCGCUGACUCCGAUCAAUGGCAUAUUUAUCUCCAAUCAUGUGCUGACAAGGAGCACCGCAUCCGCCCACAAGUAAUUCGCCGACGAUGAGGAGUUUGAGAUGGCCAGUAGGAUAGGUACAUUUGUCUGUGAAUUUUGUCUAAAUCUCGUGUGACCCUUUACAUCUUCAGAUUCUUCCCAUGUAUUUUUUAUGUUCUUAAGUGUCAGUCUGCUGGCUACAUGACGCUUUCUGAAGCCAAUCAUAGUGUGAUUUCUGAGCUAAGGGCAUGUGUUGUUCGAUCACCACAAAUCCGCAACACCGAGAUAAGAUGGUUGCAUUUGUCCCAAUUUUCAUUAAUCCCAGCUAUUACUGAACAUUCAACCAUGCUUGCCAAUAAAAGCUACGCGUGUGUAUCACAAUCUUAGUGGCCUACCAUACAGGUUGAUCUGUAACAAUUAGGCGUGUUUGAUCUACAUUUCUAUUGCUUUCCUGCAUAAUAGGUGAUGAUGGUGUCUGUAGCCUCUGAGGGACAUGAAUCUAAAUAUUCAGAGAUUUUCAUUUAUAAGAUAUUUGUGACAAGACAUCCUAUUGACGGUAUUCACACGUCACAAGGCUUAUUAUGCAGCACAAUGAUAAACCUACAAAAUGUUUGAGGAUUUAUUUAAAAAACAGUAACAUAUAUUGCUAAAGAAUGCCCACAUGGAGCUUACUUUUCGUUCCAGGGUUUAUCAAGUAGCGCUUCUGGACAAUGCACCUGUGGAUGCAUAUUCAAACUAAAAUAUCAUAUGUUUGCAACAGAAAUUUUAUAAUAUGUAAGGUUUCUAUCAGUUUUGUUGGCCUGAAGAAUACAUGUAAAACAGAAAAGUUUUCUGGUAAGUACUAUUCAUUUCCUUGUUUUUUCAGAAAGUUUCUGGCAGUUUUGUUAAUCUGAGUAAUACAUGUAAAUGGAAAAGUUUGCUGGUACUUGCUCUUGUUGAUGCAAAGGUCGACCUCUAACUAAACCAGCAUGGCUGAGCACGUCAGUCCUUUGAAAGUUAAACUUGGUUUUUUGCUUCUAAGAUGUACCUUGAUUGUGUCUGGUGCAAACAUGAAUAUUUCAAGCUUGCGAGCGGAUGCUCUUGAUUAUAUAAUUUGACUAUUGUGAUUACUAUGGUUAUCUGCCGAAAUAGCACAUCCCUACUAUAAGUGAAAAUAUGAAUAUUUUAAGCUUGCAAGUGAAUGCACUUGAUUAUAUAAACCCAUGUACUUUAUCUUUGUGCCAAAAAAAAACAUAUAUUGAUAGGUCCUCUUAAUCAUUCAGGAGAUGAUGUCCUUAUUACCGAGUGCAGAUAACCACAUUGAGAAUCAUAAAUACACCCCCUUUGUUGCAAAUUUUUUUUUGGGACCGUCUUAAUGCUCUCGUUAUUCUUAUUCACAAGAUUAAUCGGUUUACCUGCCGAUUCUUACUGGUGUCCCUGAUUUUGUUGUUAUCAAAGUAGAAGCUAUCAUCACCAAUAUGUUAUUUAUCUUAAUGUUGUAACACUGAAGUAUGAUCAUUCGCAAUGUUGGAUCUCCUAAGUGCGCAUGAAGCUACAACAAGAUUUGAUAGACGAAAUGGUUAAAUGGAAAGCAAGCUGAAAGAAAUCCGCUUUAACAAGUUCUUCAUAGCUUGUUUCUUCCAAGAGCUCUUUCAUCUAAUCCAAGGCUCAAGAAAAGCUUUUCCAUGAUUGCUGAGUGGAAUGAUCAGUCAGACAAUGACAUGAUUGAUGGCAUUCUUCACUUUCUCAUUAGUCAGUCUGCUAAAUGAUCAAUAGGAUUUCAAUCUGACUAAAUUUGUUUUGUAACACAGGAUAACACUGAAGAGAAGUAGGUGAAGUAAAAUGUGAAGUGCUAAUUAUUCUUCUAAUGCAUAGAUAAUUGUCUUGGUACGAGUUCUCGUCUAUGAGAAGUAUCCAGCUUACAUGUUUUAGUUCAGACCAUGGUCAAUGAUUUUGCAUAGAGUUAAUGCCAAUUAGAAGUUUCUUAUUUCUGCACUACACAAGUGUACAUAUUCAAAACAGUGUUUGUGACUUACUAUAUUCAAGUUAAAUUUUAGCAAUUUAGAAAGUAUACAUAACUUGCUGAAGGAUUAAUGCUCUAUAUUGUAGUGUUCAUUGUGGUGGAUUAAUGCAAUAGGAAUGUCCCUUUUACUUGAUGAAGUUUUGCCAACUAUUUUGAUCAUUUGUUUCUUGUUGUGCCUAUACAGGUCCAGACUUGUAACUUUUCUGUCGAUAUUUUUCUUGUUUUUUGUCGAUAUGGGGAUUAUCAUGGUACAUGUAACUAAUCAAGCAGGUAAUAUAUUCCAGUUCGUGGAGGUGCAACACUAGCUACCGAUGAUGAAGAAUUAAUGUGUUGGUGCGACAAAUUAAGAACAAAUUAUCUAGAAUUUUAUUGUAUCGGAAUAUUAUAUUGCUAUCUUUUUUCAAACAUGUGAUUUUUUAUGUA